rnacentral:misc_RNA from 1 species
AAAUACAGAACCUUUCUAAGGUACUCACUUGCCCAGAUACCAUAAUUGCUUUAAUAAUUCCUUUUAUGAUUAUCCAAGUUUCUAAGUCAUGCUUUUAGAUUGUGUUAGGAUGAGAAUAGCGGUUAUAUCAUGGGAAGGUUGAAUUAGUAUAUGGUAAAAGGUAUCCAUUGUUGUAUCAUUUAAAAGGACACUUUAUGGUAGUCUGUGUACUUGCAAGAGAUGAAAUUAUGGGAUAAGUUGGUGGCUGGUGACUAAAGGUGAGGCAAGUAGCUUGUUAGAUGCCUGGGUUGUGAUAUGUUCAUCUGCUUAUGUACUUGCAUGCAUCUUUUUGAUGUUUAAUGUGUUUGCUAGAUGUUUGUUUAUGAAAUCUUCAUUUGCAUCUUUUUUGAUGUUUCAUUUGUUUGCUUCAUACAUAGAUGUUUUCUUACAUGCUACUUCUGUUUGGUUAGAAAACGAAGAGGGCUCCAAAGG